rnacentral:rRNA from 1 species
UUUGCUGACGACAAUAGCGCGAUGGCCCCACCUGAUCCCUUCCCGAACUCAGAAGUGAAACAUCGUAGCGCCAAUGGUAGUGUGGUUCGCCCAUGUGAGAGUAGGUCAUCGUCAGCUC